GCGUUGUGGCUGCCUCAGAACAUGCCCAUUUUGCUACCCAGAAACUUGGGUUUCCACAGCAUGUAGGGGCAGACACAAGAAGAAACGUGAAAACAACACAUCCGUGCCCUCAGGAACAGAGUAGAAUUUAUGCCCACUCUGACCCGGGGACAGUCAAGGAGGCCUGACUUGCAGGGCCUGAGCACUGAGUCCAAGCUAAACAUCCCUGACAUCAGUAACUAUGGUCUGGCUUGUAUAUGGUUUGCUUUACAACUACUGUAGGUCCAGAAACCUUAGUGAAAACACACAUGUGCAUGCACAUGUACACGCACACGUACACACAGGCGUGCGUCUCCGAGGGAAAUACCCUUAGGGUACCUGGAAGAAUAAAAAAUAAAACUGUGCAUGAGGGACAUGUCCUCAAUACAGACGGUGCAGCAUCCCUACAGACAAAAAGAUAACUCUGAAGGUGAGUAUCUCACAGGCUCAAACUACAAAUACAAGGAACUUCAUGUAACUAAAUUAUAGAAUAAAAACCACAAAAAAAGAAUGAUUACAUUGAUUACAGGUAUAGAAGGAGGAAUCAGGAAAGAGAAGAUCAGGACACAGAUACUGGAAACAGAUACUGUAAAUAAUUGAAAGAAAAUUCCAUUUAAAUACAAAAAGUGAAAAAACGUGGUUGCUGAAAUUUAAGAUUCAAAGACUGGGUUAAGCAGUAGAUAAGCAAUAGAGGAAGAGGGAACAAGUAAGUAGAAAAACAGAUAUAGGUUGAGUAUUCCUAAUCCAAAAUCCAAAACCCAAACUGCUCCAAAAUCUGAAGCCUUUUGAAUGCUGACAUGAUAUCACAAGUGGAAAAUUCCACACAUAAGUACUUAACACAAACUUCGUUUCAGGCACUGAAAUUAUUUAAAAUAUUGUAUGAAAUUACCUUGGUCUUAUUUUAGACAAGGUGUAUAUGAAACAUAAAUAAAUUUUGUGUUUAGACUUGGGUCCCACCCCCCAAGGUAUCUCAUUAUGUAUACACAAAUAUUACAAGGUCUAAAAACACUGA